GGGAUCAACACUCGAGCGUGCCAUCCCUUGGUCAGUGGGAUCAAUACCCGAGCCUGCCUUCACUUGGUUAGUGGGAAAAAUAUCUCAACCAACCGUACUAUUGAUCAGUGGGAUAACAACCCGAGUCUACCAUAGCAUCGGCCAGUGGAUAAUAUCCGAACUGCCUUCAAUUGGUCAGUGGGAUGCAUACCAGAGCCUGCCGAUAUUGUUUUAAUUGGUCAGUGGAAUCAAUGCUCGUGCCUGCUUUCAAUUGGUCAGUAGGACCCAUACCCGAGUCUGCCUUCAAUUGGUCAGUGGGAUCCAUACCCGAACCUGCCGACAUUGUUUUAAUUGGCCAGUGGGAUCAACACCCGAGCCUGCCUUCAAUUGGUCAGUGGGAUCCAUAUCCGAGCCUGCCGACAUGGUUUUAAUUGGCCAGUGGGAUCAAUAUCCGAGCCUGCUUUGACAAUUGGUCAGUGGGAUGAGACCCGAACCUGUCUUGAUAAUCGGUCAGUGGGAUGAGACCCGAACCUGCCGUGAGAAUCUGUCAGUGGGAUAACACCCGAGCCUGCCUUAAGAAUCUUUCAACAAGAAAUUAAAUUUGAUUUGUCAAGAAACAAGAAAUUAAAUUUGAUUUUCUAAGAAACAAAAAUUUGAACUUGAUUUUUUUAUUUUUGACUUUUUGAAUUUUCUGAUUUUUUUGAUUUUUUUGAUUUUUUUGAUUUUUUUGAUUUUUUUGAUUUUUUUUAUUUUGAUUUUUUUUCGAGAGAAUCUUUUCAAAAAACAUUUUGGUCCAGCGUAGGGCCCUUUUUUUUUCUUUCUUCUCUUUCUGCGGUAUCGGCCUUCCACAUCACUAGAUGUUUUUUCGUCGAUUUCAGCCAUGGAUACCUGCACAGGGGGCUUACCAAAGUACAAUAUGCACUAAUGUUUUUUUUUAUUUGAUUGAUUUUUUUUCUUCUGCAUUGAUGCACAGUAUGAUUGAUUCAAAAAUAUCUUAUUUGACUCUUUGGACGAAAUCCACAAAUGUGUUACAAGAAUUUGCCCCAGUGUGGGCCUAUUUUGCAAAAUCUCACAAAUAAAAGAAUUUGUCCCAGUGUAGGUCCAUUUGAUUGAAAAAUUUUAUUUUGAUGAUUCUCCAUUUAUCAAAGUAAGAAAUUGUGUUUCCUAGAAUCUUAGGAAGUAAUCACAUACCCACCUAUAAUGUGAAAAAAAUAAAAUCCUUGCCUAAACUCAUAUAGCAAAUUUCAUGAUGGAUUUCUCAAAAUAAUAUCAAAUUAUAAAAGAUUUCUUCCUCACUUUAGCAUCAAUGCUUUAGGCAAUGGGUCACCGCUUUUUGUUAACUCAUCUUUCAGGACCAAUUAAGUCGGUAUUAUUUCUGAUUUUGCAGUGACUAAGAAAAAUGGGAGGUUAGGAUCUGUCUUAUUCUUGUGCCCAAUGGUAUGUAAUCCAUUCCAUAUCACAUCUUAGUGAAAGCAAAUAGUUUGUCACCCCUAUUUCUUAAGAAAAUUUAGUCACAUAUAAGUUUUUUAGGCAUGUAACAUGUGGGCAGAAACGAUAGCUGAACAUGUGGAAACAGGUUAUAGGCAUAAGAUCACAAAUGAUUGAUGGAUUCCUUAGAAGUAUAAUCCUCACUUCGAGUUGUCAUGAAGGGUAAGUCAACGAUGGAUUUUAUGAGCUUGUAAUGUGGCUUGAAAACGAUAGUUAAAGAAUAAGACUUUCAAGGACGUUGCACCGAAAAUCGCAUUUUUUCAAAAUUGCCCCUAUUUUAAACUAGAAAAAUCUUGGACUUCGUUUGACUUUUAUCAUUACUUAACGGGGACUUUCAGCAUCGAAAUUUUUUGCAUUUCUUUUGCAUUCAUUUUGCUUGCCUUUUCUUUUCUUUUCAAAUGUGCCCUUGCGGAUUUUCACAUGAUGAGCAGUGUCAGCCUCAUCUAAUCAAUUCAGAAAUACAUCUAAAAAAUUUCUCGGCAUCAGUAUAUGAGCAUCACUUGCCAAUUAAUUUAGAAAAUUUCUCGACAGAGAUAUUGCAAAGAACAGAAGUCAGGGCUUCCGGCUUUUGUAAUGAGGUCAGGUGGGGUGUUUAGAAAGGUUAAGGCUUGAAAGCGGAUUUCAAAAGCGUUUGAAUGAUCUGAGAUCGCAUUAUUACGCCAACCCUAUUUUAGGGUUAAAUCAGAACUUGCCCCAGUUUAUUCUCAAUUGAGGCUCUUUUCUCUUUCAUUUUGUUCUCUUUUUCGGCCUUCUGCCAUUCUUUUGAACUUUUCCAAAAAUAUGCCCUAGUUUAUGUUCAACUGAGGUUCUCUUUUCUUUUUUUUUUCUUCUUUUGAUUUUGUUGCUUUAUCACUUUUCACCUCUUGGGACUUUUCUUUCUUUUUCAACUCAAAUUUGCCCCAGUGUGGGGUUUGCAAUUCUCAGGGGUUGCCAAACAAAAUAUUUUAUUCUGAAGGCUCAAAAGGGAUAACUAGGGAUAGAAUAUUUGAUUGGAAAAGAAGAGGGCCUGAUUUUUCAUUCCGUUCCUUACAUUAAUUCUGAAAGGAAACUUUCAUUAAUGCGAAAUUUCUUGCAUGUAUCUGAAUUAAUUCACUGAGAAAGACCCUUGUUCAUCCAUAUCCGUGAAACAUAGGGGAUCCGUCAGACAAAACUCUUCCUUUUUCUCUUUUUUUUUUCCUUUCUUCUUUUCAAAAUUGAAGCCCAGAUAUCGAUGGUAGAAUCAAAUUUUCCCCAUUUGGUGAUUCCCUCUUUUCUUUUAAUUUUAGCAUUUUUGCCUUUUUCUCCUUUUGGAAAAUUCUCCAAUCUCCUUCCCCAAUGUGGGGUGCGAUCGUAAAUGCUUUUGAAAAGAAACACCCAUUUUAGCUCAAAUGAGGAUGCAAGGGAUAAAUAGUGUUUAGGUUGUAGAAACGAUGGCCAAAGUAUCAUUCUUACACCUCAUGACAACCAAAGUAACGAAAUGGUCAUUGAAAAUCCACUCCCUUUUUGAUAUCUAAGAAUUUUUCAAUGUAGGGUAGUGAUCAUUAAGGCUCUUAUUUGAAACGAAAUUAUUCUUUUAAAGGUUCAAAUAGGAAAGCAAAUGAUAAAAAUCUGUAUGGGUAGAGAAACGAACGCUCGAAAUAUCAUUCCAAAUUUUCAAAAAAAACAAGAAUAACGCACAUUUUGCUUUCACUUAGAUGUGAAUUGAAUAUAAUUAGACACAGUGGGCAUUUUUCAAGCAAAGAUUGCCCCAAUUUGCAAUUUAUUUUGGGGUUAAGUGAAGGAGAAAAGAUAUCUCAUUGGGUUUUUUGAGUGACCGCUCACUUUUUUUUUUUUUUUUUUUUUUACUCUGAGCACUCUUAUUGUAUAGUUCGGAUCACCAAUCUAGUGUACGUAAGGAUUUUAGAAAGCAUACACUUGUGAAUUUUCAGGCUGGAGGUUGAGGAAAUCUCAAUUUAGUUUUAUUUCUUAAAAUUCAUCAUGAAAUCUCCAAUGAGCAAAAAUAAAGAAUAAAAUGUACAUGAAUAUACACAAAACAAUAAUUGUCCAAAAACUUUCUUGCUGAAAAAGUUUAAAACAAAAUUUCUCGUUCAAUUAUAGUACAAAUGAGAAGAGAAAACUUUCUAAAGAGCUCCACUUAUAUGCAUUCUUUUGUCUCCUUUUCUUUUGGGACAAAAUGUAUUAACAAGUCAAAUAUACAGAAUUUUCUGUGAAAAAUAAUUAUGAACUCUCUUAGAGGAUUUAGCCUAACGCUUCUAGAUAGAUCCUUUAUGUUUUCAUUACAAGACUUGCCCAAGAAUCAAGUAAUUCUUUUCAAAUUUUAUCGGAUCAAAAUUAUUAUCAGAUAUAGAAAAUAUUUUCACCUUAUUGAAGCAUUUGUAUGAAUGCAGGGGAGGGGGAAAACAAAAGGAAAAAUACCCCGAGUUAGUAGGCAAGAUUAUAAAAUCGGUAUGCAUGUCCUAUGGGGGAGCCCUUUUAUACCAAGGGUAGGCCUAGCAUGAAAAUGUAAUCCUCUAAGGUAGGUACCAUACAAUACCUGAUGAAUCUAACCAAUUUAUUGAGUGAAAAAUAAUUUGGAAAAAUUUGUCCAAUUGGAGUGAAAAAGGGACAUUUGUCCAAAAAAAUGAGGACAAAGUCCAAAUGGAUUGUUUGUUUUGAUCGACACACAAAAUGAUGUGUGAAAAAAAGUCUACUCUUAAAAGGAUUACAAUGUUCCGACUAAUUUAUUCAGUGAACCUUAGACUUAAACCCUAAAAGGGGAAUAAGCGGGUCAAAUGGAUAGGAUGAAAUUGAUGAUUUAUUCAAAAUCGACCGAAUUGCCCUCAAAAUGGGUAAAUUGGCCAAAUGAGUGAAAUGGAGUUAAUGAAAAAAAAUUGAUUAGAUUGUCCUAAAAUUUAAUGAAUUGAUAAAAUGGAUUGGAUAAAAUUGAUGGUUUAUUUGAAAAUCGAUUCAAUUAUCUGCACAUUGGUAGUUUCAAAAAAAAUCAUUGCAAUGCAUUAGUCUAUCAGUCUUCUAAAAUCAAGAUUUGGCCUCUACAUUUAUCGUCUCAUCAAUGAAGAAUCAUUUGUGAAUUUCUUCAAGUUAAUGUCCUUUACGCAAGGGAAUUUUUUUACCAAUUUUGUUUAAAAUGGCCAAAAGAUGAUUGUUAGAUGCCCAUAUUCUAAUGUACAAAAAUUGCUUGCCGUCUUUGAAAAGAUCGGAUCCUGCCUUACCUCGUGCACUACCUCUUUGGAUGGUACAGGAAAUACAAAUGUGCAAGUCUCAUUGGAUUAUAUAUCCGAGACACAGGGCGGUUUAUUCCUAACGUGGGAUUCCCUAAACGGCGUUCCCUUCUAAGGUGGAUGCAUGAUGUCAGUUUAUCAAAACGACUAAAUAUGCAGUACAUAAAUGAAACAUGACCUAAAGGAACUCUUUUUGUAUGUCGUGGUGAGCUUAAAAUGAAAUAUAUUCAUGCUACAAAUGCGAAGUAUUGAAUUUAAACGUGUCACAUCAAUUAGGGUAGGCUCCUAGAGAGUACCAUGCCAGAACUCUUAUGUUCUAGGCUUAUGAAUGCAAUGGAGACAAAAGCCAAGAAGAGUUAGUUCAAUCAGACAAACACACAUAACACAUUUGUAUCAAAAUAAUACAAAGAUAUAAAGCAAUAAAAGGAAUAAAGGGGUUGGAUCCCUCCCCUCGUGAAUAGUAUCCCUAAUAGGGUAAGGCAGACUCUACCCUAGGUAAACUACCAUGGAUGCAUGAGGUAUUGGCUCACUAAUGCAUCUAGACUCGACAGGUUUUAGGUCCCUGAGCCUUCAGACUUGGAAACCAAAGGUCAUUAAUCUCAAGGUUCUUUGUCGGUGGCUCGAGCGAUUCCCCAGACAUUGCUACGCACACGUUGUGUCACGGCUACAUAUCUGAGUGAAUCUAGAAAAAAUCCUCAACUUUCGACUAAAAGCUAAAGGCUAUUAACCUAAAGCUUAAAGCGGAAGAUUGAAUGACCCCUCAGAUCAUGCUACACACACAUCGUGUCGCGAUCACACGUCCAAGUGGGUCGCCUAAUCCUAAUAGGGUGGAGUGGCGUGACAAGACACUAAAAGAAAAAUAAAAGAGGAAUAAAUAAUAAAGCGUAUGCACGUAUGCUAGUGCUUCUUUUUGGAGGGGGGGAUCGAGAACCAAUGCGAGGCUCUAGGGAAAUACACCCCCCAAAUGCAAUGCAAAGUGCAGGAUCACAUAAAUAAAUCACUUAUCCAUCAAAUCAAUCGUACGCAAAUGUGCGAGGGAGUGAGUUGAUAUGCGUGAAAUGCAAAAAUCCUCAAAAAGGAAAAAUGCAAUUCUAAACACCCAAAUGUGAUAUAUAAAAAGGUUAAAAGAAGAAAAAGAUUGACUAAAUCAAAUUUGCUCGGACUCUCUAAAUCCCCAGUGGAGUCGCCAACUGUCGUCGCGCCCCAUUUUUUACGAAGAAAAAUAAAAGACGAGUUUAGAAAAAUGGCUUUUGAUUCAAUUUUUGAUUGAAAAAAAUAAAUUUUUUGAUUUAAAAAGAAAAUGAAAAAACAUGGGUCUAAACGGGACUUGAAAAUGCGACGAUUUGACCCAAAAUAUAGUUUAAAAAGGGUUUUUUGAAUGAAAAAUGGAGUUGCCACUUGGUAUAGAGUUAAGGUGUACCAAAUCACCUAAAAAAUGAAUUUUUUUUUUAAAAAGUAGAAAACUCUUUUUUAAACGACUCCAAGUCUACCAAAAUCAGAGAAAAAGAUUCGGGAGUCACAUUUGAAGAAAGGGAAUGCAAGGAUAAAAAUCCAAGGCACCCUUUCAACCUAGCCAAGGCUAGUUGCACAAUUUAGUCAAAAAUUUUCUUAUUUUACCCUUAAGAUUUAUCACAUUUGGAUGUACUAUUUGAAUGCAUACCCUAAACUUAGGAGGGUGUCGGGGGGUCAAAAUGUUUCUUCAAAGCUUACUUGGUACCAAUCACAUUAAUUGUGACGCCCAAUACGGACUCUUUGGAGAGGUCACGAAUAUGCAAGUCAUGAGACUCGAAAGAAAGAAAAGGAAAAUAAGAGUAAUUAUACAAAUAUACGUGGCCUAAAGGAAUGCAUCAUGUCGGGUACGGGUGAACUAAUGUUCGUGACUUUCAAUGUUCCCUUCAAUAGAGGGAAUACGAGCGUGCUAAGGCUAGAAAAGCCAAACUCGUCCAUAUCCCAUAUCCAAGGGAUUUCCCCUAGUCUAAUCAAGCAGAUGACCCUAUUGACUAGAAUGAAAAUGCAAAGUCCUAAAAUUGUAUUUCAAUUGCGGGAAAGGGGGUGAAGGCUCAUGUAAAAAUGUAAAACUAAAAAGGAAAAAUGAAUGAAGAUGUAAUGAAGGCAUGCAAGUAUGUGCUAGCGUGGGAGACGGCCCUAUUGGGUCUAGCAUUGGACUAGCCCUUAUUUCUACUUCCUCACUAGCAUUGGACUAGUGAGAAAUCGGACAAGGGAACCACAACUAGCAUUGGACUAAUGUGGUAUCGAGAAUUGGAUCACAACUAGCGUUGGACUAGUGUGAUAACACGUCACAUAUCAAUUAUAACUAAAUUAAUCAUGUAAAGUCUAAUGAAAGCAUGUAAACACAUAAUAUCACAUAAACACAUAACACAUAAUCAUAAUAUCUAGAUGCAAGAUCCUAAGAAAGCGGUAACACAUAGCAUGUAAGCAUGCAAAUCACACAAGCAAACAAACCCUAACUAUUACAUUUGAAGGGGCCUACUACAAUCUAAAGGGGGAAUGAAUUAAAUAAAAUGAUAUAAUAACCUAACUAUUACAAUUGUGGCAUUUAAUUGCCUUUCAAAUGAUCAAAAGUGAACUAAAUAUAUAUAUAUAUAUAUAUAUAUAUAUAUAUAUAUAUAUAUAUACCAAUCUAAAGCCAAUAAAGAGAAUGAAUAAAUAAAUGAAAUAAAUAAAUAAAUAAAUAAUAAGAAACAUACAAGAGGCAUGCAAUUAAACACACAAAGUCACAUAGGGCACGUAGAGUCAAACAAGGUCAAAUAAAGUGAGAAAUAAGGGAUAUGAUGCACCUCCCUGCAGUUGGGGCCCUAAUGAAGUGAAACUACACGUUUACCCUCCAAAAAUAAAGAAAAGGUCAAGGCAUCAUUUUAAUUAACAAAGAAUAAAUGAAAUUGAAUGAAUAAAAACAUUUAACAUCUAAACAGCUCAUAUUCACCAAAUGAGGACCCAAUUGAAAGGAAAAAGAAAGUUUGAGGGGUCCUAUUGAUGGAUUUUUCAAUUGCUUGGGCCAUAGUGAAACAAAGGGAGACUUGGGGGGCCCAAGUGCAAUUUUCAGAGAGUUAUUUCUUGCAAUUUUCAUGCAAGCUACGAAGAACAUCGCUUCUGCAAUUUUUCAACUACAUUUUCCUGCAAUUGUUGUAUUCAGUCUAAUGCAAUCUUUCCAUUCAAACCCAGCUAAUAUCUCAACCAGAUAUCCAAGCCUCAAUCCCGAUCAACGAACUCACAAAACUCAACGUCCAAACAAACCAAGAAAGAAAAGGAAAAAACUUAGGAUGGGAACAUGUUAUUUCUGGAAAAUUUUCUGCUAUUGCUGCCAUGAACAACAAAGCAUUAUUCUUUGAUCAAAAAACACAAGCACAAUCCAUCUAAAUAUGAUAAAACGUGCACUAAACAUUCAAUAAAAGAAAAUCAGCAACCAAUGGCCGCACACAGCAUCUGAACAUGCAUUUGUUUCUAGGUCCCCAACAAGAAAGGUCUAAACUUGGCUUUGUUAGAAAAAUGUUCAUAGCAUCCUAAACAAUCAGCAAAUAAAAACAAGACCAUCAAAGGAGCAACCCAAGAGAGAAAAAAAAACAGAUUUUUUUCGCUCAUACUGCUGCAUCGAAUCGAGUCUUAAGUUUGUUGCAGCGAAUUUUGUGCUCGACGCUCAGCCUAAGGCAAACUAAUGUGCUCGGCGCUCAGCCUAAGGCAAACUAAAACUCAGGCAAUAGGAUCAGCACGUGUUUUUCAUACUGUUUUAGUAGAAAAUUCUUGAGUUUAAACACCAAACAAACGGACCAAAAGGGGCGUACGAGAAUCUGGAACAUUUCUGCCACUAUUGCUGUUUUUUAUUGUCCUGUUCACAAGUUCCACAGACCAGAUCUUAUAUUGAUGAAAAACAACUUGCUACCUAUACCCUCCAUUUUCGAAACCCAACGCUAACAACACAGAAACGGAAAUCAGCAGCAGAUAACACUCAACAAACCCACUCAACUCUAUGCUCGUGAAUUCAACCUUAGCUAUCAGUACGCGGGCUCUGGCUAAAUUCGGACUGGCCAGAGUUCCUUUUGAAAGCAUUUAGACUGACUCUUUCAGCUCAAGCUUGUCACUUUAAGGCAAUUUAUCGAACAACCAACAAGCAUGAGAGAAUUUGAUAAUGCAUAAACGAAAGAAAGACAGGGAAAUGUUACCUUCGCUUCUUUUGGUAGCAAAACAGCGCUCGAGUGGCGGAGCGAUGGGCUUCAACACGGGUCAAGCGAAGCUGGGAACCGUUUCACCUGCUGCUGUGGCUGCCUUCCAGAUUCUGCACUACCUCCCUCCUUGCUUCUUCCUGGGCCGAAAGCUUUUCCUCCUCUUCUCUCGGUCUCUUUCUCUCACCCUCUUCUCGAUAUCUUUCCCUCACCCUUGUUUUUCCUUUUCUUUCUUUCUCUCGGUUUCUUACUGCCUGUCUCCGCCGCCACUCUAUUUCUCCUCUUUUCUAUCAGACUUCAGCCGCCUCCCCCCACC
rnacentral:lncRNA from 1 species